UGGGGAAUUUUGGACAAUGGGCGCAAGCCUGAUCCAGCCAUGCCGCGUGCGGGAAGAAGGCCUUCGGGUUGUAAACCGCUUUUGUCAGGGAAGAAAUCUUCUGAGUUAAUACCUCGGGAGGAUGACGGUACCUGAAGAAUAAGCACCGGCUAACUACGUGCCAGCAGCCGCGGUAAUACGUAGGGUGCAAGCGUUAAUCGGAAUUACUGGGCGUAAAGCGUGCGCAGGCGGUUUUGUAAGACAGAGGUGAAAUCCCCGGGCUCAACCUGGGAACUGCCUUUGUGACUGCAAGGCUUGAGUGCGGCAGAGGGGGGAUGGAAUUCCGCGUGUAGCAGUGAAAUGCGUAGAUAUGCGGAGGAACACCGAUGGCGAAGGCAAUCCCCUGGGCCUGCACUGACGCUCAUGCACGAAAGCGUGGGGAGCAAACAGGAUUAGAUAGCCCUGGUAGUCCACGCCCUAAACGAUGUCAACUGGUUGUUGGGAAGGUUCCUUCUCAGUAACGUAGCUAACGCGUGAAGUUGACCGCCUGGGGAGUACGGCCGCAAGGUUGAAACUCAAAUGAAUUGACGGGGG
rnacentral:rRNA from 1 species